rfam:Triticum aestivum genome assembly, contig: Triticum_aestivum_CS42_TGACv1_scaffold_093292_2AL
UAUGUAUCCCCUCUGUCCCAAAUUAGUUGUCUUAUUAGAUUUGUCCAGAUAAUGAUGUACCUAACACUAAAACGUGUUUAGAUACAGCCGUAUCUAAAUAAAUUUAAGACAACUAAUUCAGAACGGAGGGAAUACUAG